rnacentral:misc_RNA from 1 species
CACCUUCGCAGAUUCUCCACAAUGUAGGAAGCAUAGAGAUCCAUAGAGUGUUGAACAGCUUCAUAAGCAUCAGUGGCAGGCAGGAAAUCAUUCACCGCAACUUCCUUGUUUUCAUUCUUCUUAUAAUCUUCAAAGAAACGUCUGAUUUCAGCUAAACGAUGUGGCGGAAGCUCCUUGAUAUCAGUGAAGUGUCUAUAUUCAGGAUCGUCAGCACAAACAGCAAUAAUUUUAUCGUCUUUCUCCCCCUGAUCAAUCAUAGGCAUGAGGCCAAUGGCUUUAGCCCGAAGGAAACUUCCUGGGAGAAUAGGCUCCUGCAUGAUAACCAACACAUCGAGAGGAUCAUUAUCUUCACACAGAGUACGUGGGAUAAAACCAUAGUUGUGGGGAUACACAACCGAUGAGUAGAGAACACGGUCCACCUUUAUCAUCCCAGUUUUUUUAUCGAGUUCAUAUUUCACCUUACUCCCCUUUCCUAUCUCAACCACACAGUUGAAUAUUUGGGGAGCGGCUGGUCCUAUCUCAAGGUCAUGCCAGGGGUGUGCUGCAACAGAUCUGCUGGACAUGGAAGAUAGUAUCCUUUCAUUCAAAACUGGAUGCCCCUUGUGCGACUCAGUUGCAUUUUUUGAAGGUUCAAUAUUAGGAGGCGUGAUUGUAAGUCGAUCCACGGGCGCUGGGAGAGCUGAAUCCGACAUGAUGAUGGGAAGUGAAGGAAUGUGAGCUGAC